CUUGCUCCAGCCGUCAUCGCUGACCUUCCCUUGUUUCUCCGAUCACGAGCCACCUAGUGUGCUGAGCACCGCCAUAACCCGUUGCCAGUGAGGUCACGAACAACCGAAGUAGGAUCGUCGAAGUCCAAGUACGGAGUGCUGCUGUCACUGGUUCCGUUCCGACCACCGCCGCUGCUGGGAUCGUUCCAACAGCCGUUGAGCCGCCUCUGCGUGUUUCUUUCUUCUUCUUCUUCUUCUAUUAUUCAGUCAGCCAUGUCGUCGAUAUCGAUUGGAUGUGACGUCGUCAUGGUCGUGGUGGGGUACUGCCGUCAACUAUCACCACUCCGCCGUCGCUAGUGGCUUUCAUUUAGCGAUCUCCGCCACCAUCUCCGGCCUUUAGCGUCGUUGAUGUCGAUUCCGUCGAUGAAGUGUUUCACUGAUUCAUGGGUUCGGCCUACUGGAGUGUGUUGCUACGAGAUUGGGAGCCAAAAAAAAGAAGGAACCACUGCCACCACCGUGAAUCAAUUGUUCUCGCCGCUGUAUGCCACCAAGGGGAGGUGGCUGAGUUCGUUUUGCAAGCAGAAAUCUUCGGGAAUCUGUCAUCCAGCAGCUAGGGUUGAGUCUGCGGGACUUCAGCAGUAUGAGAAUUGUGUCUACGGGACUUCAGUAGUAUGAGGUGAGUUUCCUUCCAAUAGGAACGGGUCUAUGGCCACAAUGCCGACCCGUUUAGUUAGCAGUGGUUCCGGACUUCCGUCCGAUACAGUAGUUCAGUAUGCUUGGUGUUUUGUGAUACAGACAUGGUAUGAGUUAUGUGUACCGGACUAUGGUCCGAUGCAGUAUGCAAUAUAUGUGUUCAUGUUAUAUGCUAUGAUUAUGUUAUGCUA